rnacentral:rRNA from 1 species
GACGAACGCUGGCGGCGUGCUUAACACAUGCAAGUCGAACGGAAAGGCCCUGCUUUUGUGGGGUGCUCGAGUGGCGAACGGGUGAGUAACACGUGAGUAACCUGCCCUUGACUUUGGGAUAACUUCAGGAAACUGGGGCUAAUACCGGAUAGGAGCUCCUGCUGCAUGGUGGGGGUUGGAAAGUUUCGGCGGUUGGGGAUGGACUCGCGGCUUAUCAGCUUGUUGGUGGGGUAGUGGCUUACCAAGGCUUUGACGGGUAGCCGGCCUGAGAGGGUGACCGGCCACAUUGGGACUGAGAUACGGCCCAGACUCCUACGGGAGGCAGCAGUGGGGAAUAUUGCACAAUGGGCGGAAGCCUGAUGCAGCAACGCCGCGUGCGGGAUGACGGCCUUCGGGUUGUAAACCGCUUUCGCCUGUGACGAAGCGUGAGUGACGGUAAUGGGUAAAGAAGCACCGGCUAACUACGUGCCAGCAGCCGCGGUGAUACGUAGGGUGCGAGCGUUGUCCGGAUUUAUUGGGCGUAAAGGGCUCGUAGGUGGUUGAUCGCGUCGGAAGUGUAAUCUUGGGGCUUAACCCUGAGCGUGCUUUCGAUACGGGUUGACUUGAGGAAGGUAGGGGAGAAUGGAAUUCCUGGUGGAGCGGUGGAAUGCGCAGAUAUCAGGAAGACACCAGUGGCGAAAGCGGUUCUCUGGGCCUUUCCUGACGCUGAGGAGCGAAAGCGUGGGGAGCGAACAGGCUUAGAUACCCUGGUAGUCCACGCUGUAAACGGUGGGUACUAGGUGUGGGGUCCAUUCCACGGGUUCCGCGCCGUAGCUAACGCUUUAAGUACCCCGCCUGGGGAGUACGGCCGCAAGGCUAAAACUCAAAGGAAUUGACGGGGCCCCGCACAAGCGGCGGAGCAUGCGGAUUAAUUCGAUGCAACGCGUAGAACCUUACCUGGGUUUGACAUGGAUCGGGAGUGCUCAGAGAUGGGUGUGCCUCUUUUGGGGUCGGUUCACAGGUGGUGCAUGGCUGUCGUCAGCUCGUGUCGUGAGAUGUUGGGUUAAGUCCCGCAACGAGCGCAACCCUUGUUCACUGUUGCCAGCACGUUAUGGUGGGGACUCAGUGGAGACCGCCGGGGUCAACUCGGAGGAAGGUGGGGAUGACGUCAAGUCAUCAUGCCCCUUAUGUCCAGGGCUUCACGCAUGCUACAAUGGCUGGUACAGAGAGUGGCGAGCCUGUGAGGGUGAGCGAAUCUCGGAAAGCCGGUCUCAGUUCGGAUUGGGGUCUGCAACUCGACCUCAUGAAGUCGGAGUCGCUAGUAAUCGCAGAUCAGCAACGCUGCGGUGAAUACGUUCCCGGGGCU